CCCUAUGGGGUGCAGCAGGCGCGCAAACUUUACAAUGCGAGCAAUCGUGAUAAGGAAACCCUGAGUGCCUGUCGAUGCAGGCUGUUCAUAUAUCUAAAUCAUAUGUGAAGAAAGGGCAGGGCAAGACCGGUGCCAGCCGCCGCGGUAAUACCGGCUGCUCGAGUGAUGGCCACUAUUACUGGGUUUAAAGCGUCCGUAGCUUGACUGUUAGGUCUCUUGGGAAAUCUUCACGCUCAACGUGAAGGCGUCUAAGAGAUACCGGCAGUCUUGGAACUGGGAGAGGUAAACCGUACUUCGGGGGUAGGAGUGAAAUCUUGUAAUCCUCGAGGGACGACCUAUGGCGAAGGCAGUUUACCAGAACAGCUUCGACAGUGAGGGACGAAAGCUGGGGGAGCAAACGGGAUUAGAUACCCCGGUAGUCCCAGCCGUAAACAAUGUGCGUUAGGUGUGUCGGUAACCACGUGUUACUGAUGCGCCGAAGAGAAAUCGUGAAACGCACCACCUGGGAAGUACGGUCGCAAGGCUGAAACUUAAAGGAAUUGGCGGGGGAGCACCACAACAGGUGGAGCCUGCGGUUUAAUUGGAUUCAACGCCGGACAUCUCACCGGAUAAGACAGCUGAAUGAUUGUCAAUCUGAAGGUUUUACAUGACUAGCUGAGAGGAAGUGCA
rnacentral:rRNA from 1 species